UACGAAGGGGGCUAGCGUUGCUCGGAAUCACUGGGCGUAAAGCGCACGUAGGCGGAUUGCUAAGUCAGGGGGUGAAAUCCUGGAGCUCAACUCCAGAACUGCCUUUGAUACUGGCAAUCUCGGAGUCGGAGAGGUGAGUGGAACUGCGAGUGUAGAGGUGAAAUUCGUAGAUAUUCGGCAAGAACACCAGUGGCGAAGGCGGCUCACUGGCCCGGUACUGACGCUGAGGUGGCGAAAGCGUGGGGAGCAAACAGG
rnacentral:rRNA from 1 species